UGCUCCUAUUUUUAUGUGAAAUGUAACUUUUUGGACUACAUUUAAAACAAUCCUUUUAGACUCAAAGGGCCAAAUUCAACAUGACAGAUCAGCUACUUGCCUCACAACAUCAUUUUACUGCAACUGAGUAUGCCAGCACUCGUUAUAAAUACUCUAAAAUAACAAUUAUGACAAUUUGGAGUGUGAUAUUUUGGCAGCUGUGUCAGCUAGAACCAGAAGAAGCUAAACAUCAAUUUCCCCCUCUCAGAGGAUUAAAGAUGCCCUUCAUGAAAAACUAUGACAAAGCAGGAUUGUGCAGCCCCGUCUCCACAUGACACCAUCCCCUGCCUUACACACGGAGGCAGCACACUGAUGCAUAGUAACCAACAGUGCUGUAAAUCAGUAGGGGUUUACUACACCAUAAAGGAAUCCAGUAGGAAGCAAUCUCCAUUACAACAUAGCAGCCCACCGCUCUCUCUUCAUUGGGUGACUUUGUACGGUGGACAGAGGACUGACCGUCCACACUGCAGGGGCCAAACAGCUAGAGGGGACUGGAUAAACCAGAACCAGCCAAUUCUGAUAGAAAAUAGAAAAUAAACACAAAGUAAGAAGAAAGAAAUCUGCAUUUUUAGUUUUAUGCACAUGAUAUAUGAAGGAGCAAAGAAAGAAGCAGCCAAAAAGUCCAUAGGAACUCUGGAGGAGGUGUAGAAAUACUCAGCUCAGGUGGGAGAACUUGCUUACAGGACAAAUAUUACUCUCAUGCUCUGCAAACUUUGGAAUAGUAGCAAGAGGAAAGCCAUUGUUUAAUAAAUAAAAAAAGUAUUACCAACAUAUCAUUUAACACCAACACAACUGAUUCCACUGUUGCAACACCAUCUGAAUAUUAUGAAAAAUCCCAAUUAGUCUCAACUUGGAUCUCUGGAAGCAGCAUCACCCACACUGUGCACAUUUCAGUUCAACCAUCCACAAGGUUAGACCAAGAAGGCAUUCUGAUAUCUGCUGCUUCAAUGCUGACAACACUAAAAAUACCACCGCAUGACUGGGGAAGAGUGAGAAAGCAGUUUCUCUUCAGUCCAAACAGAGCCUUUCUGCCGACCACAAUUUUCUUACUGAGAAGUUAAACAUGACUCUGAUGUUUUUAAAAUAUUGAUGAUGAUGCAAACGUUUUCCACACUUAAAAAAAAAAAAAAAAAGGAUGUUGUUCUCACUUAGCUCAGCAGAUAGUCAAAACCAAACAGGAAACAGAUCCAAAGGAAGAGCCAAAUGAAAAAACAAACACUACUUCUACUUUAAAUAGUGAGAAAAAUGAUAACGACCAUAUUAUUACACAAUGCUACAACCAGAAAAUUAAUAAUGCUUCUAGUUUAGACCUAAACUUAGACUUACUGCAUGUUUGAAAUAGUUGAAUCCAAAUCUGAGGGCAUCAAAGAAAAAGCUAAACAAUAACUGGGUUGCAAGCAAAAGACAGGGUCCACUUUGGGGCAUGACACAACAUGCAGAGACAGGCUGCCUUUAAUUAAGAACACAGUUGAGACAGAAAUUACAUUGCAACAGUCAAAAAAAAAAAAAGAGGAAGAUCAAGAGGAUUAUGAUUAUAUAGAAAAAAAAAGGAAGAUCAGAUUAAUGUGUUGUAUGAAUGGAUGAUUGACAGCGCCUGCUUCAAUGUCAUAACAUUUAGCCACUGACUGGAAUCAGAGCCACGGUCCACACGUCCAGAUCAGGAUGAGAUUUCAGGACUGGCUGGAUGUGCAUCCCUUUUUCUCCUCUACCAAAACAAAGCAACACACCAUGCAGCCAACUGCCCUUUUGUCUAUGAAUUAAAAGAGGAUGAGAGGCACACUGAAACAGGGGGCAUCCCCCUCUUUGUGGAAACAAACACAUGAGAUCAGCGUGUAGGUGAAGCUCCACGCCAGCAGCACGACAGUCAAAGUCAGACAUUAUUCAAAACCCUGGCGUUUUCUGUCCUGGUAGUUGAUUUCACCAUGAAUCAGUGGGAAAUGUCCUAUUACUGAAGAAUGCACCACCGGUCCUUCCUGGAGCCUCGUGCUUUUUGUUUCACAUUUCGCAUCUCCAUAGCAACAGGACUGCACCGGCUUGCCACGAAGGCGACCACACACCUCCCUCUUUCCGUGCGGCUAACAAGUCUGGAUCAUGGGGGUACUGGAGCUCCCCGCGGAGACUCUGUUAAACACUACCGACCAGAUCCUCUAUCAGAUUCAAGUUGGGACUCCAGAACAUGUUGGAACAACUGCAGAAUUACUCUAAAUCAAGGGCAAUAGCCAGGAGUAAAAACUGGAGAAGGGUUUAUUAGGUGUGCUUCAGGAAGCAUGGAACAUGGCAGAAUGCUGAGCAGAGGGCUUCUUUCAUGCAUUGAAAUGCACUGUCCUUGUAAGGAGGAGCUUCCUUAUCCUCAAGAAAGGGAAAAUAUGCACUGGAGGAAUUAUCACUCUGAUCAAAAUCAGUACUAAAUGUCUGUGUUUUCAGGACAUAUCUCAGAAUAAAAUCAAAGA